UAUAACUUUUGACUCCCCCAAAACCUAACUCAGCCGACUGUUAAUCAGAAGCCUUGCUGAUAACACAGAGUCUCACUCUGUCACCCAGACUGAAGUGUAGUGCAAUGGCAUGAUCUUGGCUCACUGCAACCUCCGUCUCCUGGGUCUCCAACUCCCAGCCUCAAGUGAUCCACCUGCCUUGGCCUCCCAAACUGCUGGGAUUAUAGGCAUGAACCACGAUGCCCAGCCACGGACUAAAGAUUAUUUUGCAGUUGGAGUCUUGCUCUGUCGCCCAGACUGGAGUGC